rnacentral:lncRNA from 1 species
AUUAAAUUGUUCGAAAUGAAAUGUACAAAACAUUGAAAGCAAGAAAAAAAAGCAUAACAAUUACAUAAAAAGGAAUGAAGACGUGGGUGGUGGUGGAGGGCUGACAAAACAAAUGAAAUGAAUGCAAAAUAGGAUUUAAGUGCAAGGCCAUGUUAAUGGAAAAUUCCUGUAACUAAAUGUGGAAGCGAAUUGGCCAAUUGUACGUUCUGUUUGUACUCUCUCUCUCUCUCUGUGCAUGAGUGUCAUUUAGCCAUUAAGCGUUUAAUAGCAGAAAUUUAUAAUUAACAAAAAUGCCACACACACAAAAAGUUAUAAUGGACAGAGAUUUAUCCAUCGAGUGGCAGUUGAACAUUUUACACUAAACACUUUUGAAACCUCAUUGUUUUUUAUGCCAUUAUUACAACCAUACCAUAACAUAUUACAUUUAAAGAGUAGCACAAGAAAUAACUGAAGUAACUCGUAAUUAAGAUGAAACCUAUAUGAAUACUUGGAUAAUAUUUUGUAGAUAUAUAUAUGUGGGUGGAUGUUUGAGCAAAGCAUUAUGCGAGCAGAGAGAGACACACAAAAUCCUAAUUGAAAUUUUCGAAUACUCUCAAAGCUCGAUGGCAAAUGAAAC